rnacentral:pre_miRNA from 1 species
ACAACAAUCACCUGGAGACUUGCUGAAGUGGGGAAUCUGAUCCAGCAGGUCUGGGCUGUGACCCCAGGUCCCACAUUUCUGACAAGCUCCCAGCUGAUGCUGAU